AGGAUGCGAGCGUUAUCCGGAUUUAUUGGGUUUAAAGGGUGCGUAGGCGGGCUGUUAAGUCAGCGGUGAAAGGCAUGGGCUCAACCCGUGCACUGCCAUGGAUACUGGAGUCCUAGAUCAUGGACGGCGUGGGCGGAAUAUGUCAAGUAGCGGUGAAAUGCGUAGAUAUGACAUAGAACACCGAUCGGGAAGCCGGCUCACGAGGCCAUGGAUGACGCUCAGGCACGAAAGCGUGGGGAUCA
rnacentral:rRNA from 1 species